rnacentral:rRNA from 1 species
UUAUGUUUUUAAGUUUUAAAUAAUUAUAGGUUAAAUUUUAAUUGUUAUAAGUGUUUAAUUAUAAUUUUAAAUUUUGUUAAUCGAAUUAGAUUAGUACCUAAUUAGUCAAAAGUUAAAAGAGCAGAAGUAAAGUAGAAUUUAAACUGAAAGAAUAUUGGCAGAUUUUCUAAAUUAUCUUUGGAGGUUGAGUGAUAAUUGAGAACCCUCAUUAACUACUUUUUUAGUGGUCUCAUGUAUGAUCGUUUAUUAUAUGCUUAAGGCAUAUAAUUAAAAAUUUUUAUUUAUAAAAAUAGAUAUAUAUUUGGUUUAUAUAAAAGUAAUAUUUGACCUACAAUAAUUUGUAAUUGUGGAUCUACUUUUUAGCGGAGUAGUGAAAAUGUAAAAGACAGUAAAAAAAUUUUUAUGGUUUUUUGAAGAU